ACUAAGAAGCUCGGAAUUGGUCAAAAAUAGUAAAAAGUCAAAAUGUUGACUUUUGACUUUGAAAAGUCAAACUUUGACCGGCCUUAUAUUCAAAUGUGAUUUGAAUUUUGGAAAAAUGAAUGCGGAUUCAUGCUCGGGAGGUUGGAAUUAGUCAAGACGGACAAAAUGGUAAAAAGUCAAAAUAUUGACUUUUGACUUAGAAAAGUCAAAGUUUGACUUUUGACUAGAAAAAUCUAAUGACCAUUUUACCCUUGGACUAAGUUAGUGGGAAAAUCCAACAUUUUGUUGGAUAAUCCCACUAACUCUUAGUGGGAUAUGUGGCUAUAUGAGAUAUAGACACCUAGCCCACUAAGUUCCACUAAUUGUUAGUGGAAUAUUAGGUGUUGAGAUUUGGCAAUUGAAUUGCAUGCAUUUUUGCAUGUAAUUAGGCUAUAAAUAGAGAUGUUUUCAAAUGUUGAAGGACUUUUGCCUCUUUUAUCAUUUUCAUAAUCUCAACAAAAGAAAAAAAAAAAAGCUUCCAAUCUCAUUUUAUCUCCACUACUUUCUACACCAAAAUUGGGUCCCACAACCCGGUUCUUUGUCUAGAGGAUAGCAGUUGAGUACUAGUGGUGGUCUCGGGUAGAAUUGGUAAGAAGACAUCAAACCUUUUGAAAGCUUCAAAGGUAAUACUUCUUAAAACCCUAAUUUGAUUAGUUUAUGGUUACAUGUUAAUUGUGGCAAUUAGGGUAGAAAUUCGAUUCUUUUUCCGCUGUGCAUGACUUAGUUCUAUCAAAUUUCAUAUUGAACUUUAAUCUCUUUCGAACUUUAUAGUCUUUUUCUUCCUUCACUUUCAAUUUUAGUAUGAUCUAUUAGAUCGUUAAAAUUUCAAAGUUUAACUUAAUAAAAUUGUUAAAUGAUAUAUAACAUUCAAUUUACGAAUAUGUUAACUUAAACUUUUAAGUCAAUUUAUGAUUAACAAGUUCUCAUUUCUCAUUGAUGAUUGAUCAUAUUUCUAAAUAAAAUGUACAAUUGUGUCGUGAUCUUAUUAUUUUAGAUAUUCUUCUCAUUGGUGUGGAGAUUCGCUUAGAAUAAGAGAUAUAUAGGGUGUGUUUGGUUGAGAUUCUAAAGUGAUUAAUUUUGCCAAAAAAACUAUUUUGAAAAAAAUGGUAGUGUUUGGCAAAUUAAAAUAAUGUAUUUUUUAAAAAUUCAUUUAUAAAAUAAUGUAUUUUAAAGAAAUCUUUAAAAACCAAAAUCAUAUAUAAACAAUUAUAAAAAAAAUCUAACCAAACAUUAAAUGUUUAAAUUUUAAACUCAUUUUCGAAAAAGUAUUUAAAAUGAAAUGUAUUAUUGAAAAACAUUAUGUUUUUAAUUCAAUCAAAACGGACCCUUAAUCCAUAAUCAACACAACACUUCAUUGAAUCUUCUUUCCAACAAAAUAAAUAACAAAAAUUUGUAAGUUUUUGUCUUAAAUAAUUAACUUUUUAUUAUUAUUAUAAUCCUUUCCAAUUAUUUCUUUACUGAAUCUCUGAAAAUGCAACAAAACAAGAAAAAAACAUAUAUUUUUGGAAUUAACAAAUUGAACUACAAAUGAAAAAAAAUAAAUAAUACAAUUUCUCUAUGAAUUGAAUUUACUGUAAUAAUUUCAAAAACAUAUUUUACAUGAAGAAAAAAAAUAAUAUAAUUUAUUCUGUGUAUUUGAUUUAAUGUAAAAAAUUUCACUUUUGUAGUUGCUAACAAAAAAUAUUUAUACAAAAUGAACAAAAAGAAUUAAUGUAAAAUUUGGGUGUAUUUGAAUUAGGGUAUAACUAAAGAAAAUGAACUUGUGAUAGGAACAACAACAAAAUUCUACACAAAUGCAAAAAAUGUUCACAUUUUACAUUUUAUAUUGAAUUCAUAAAAAAAGAAAAAACAAGAAUUUCAUUUUUUAUUUUCACAAUUAUUUUGGUACACUUUUUUUACACAAAUGAAAAAAAAAAUACAAUCUUUUUAUCGUAAUCCUUCUUCCAAAUAAAUAUUAUAAAUAAUUCUCCAUAAUCUUCUCACAAACAAUAAUUAUAAUAAUAAUUUCCUUUUCAUAAACCCUCUCUUUAUUCCUUUCCUCCCAUCUUCCUUUCCUUUUCUCCCCCAAAAUAUUCUUCUAAAAGAGGAUUCUCAAAGAAUAUGUUUUCCGCCACGUCGGUUCCAUUCUCAGCCACCCUUCUUCUUCGCCACGUGUGCUUGAUUCGUUGGGCCUCCCUAAGGGCCCAAAUGUGUAGUCCGCCUCGACAGUAAGCCCAGAAUGAUGAAUCAAAAUCACAGUUUAUAUAAAAAUUGAAUUGAGAAAAUUAAUUAAUUGAAAAUCAUUAACAAUACUUACAAAAUAAAUCAUGGAAUUUAGGAGAGAUGAAUCUAUUCUGUUUUUCUAUACGGAAAUGAAUCAAUUUACUCUUGCCUAAUACCAAAUAUUGUGUGCAUUUUUAUUGGUUCCCCAUUCCAAAUUAUUCCAAAUUCAUUCCCUUUUUAAAAUCACUCCUUUACAUUUUUUAAAUAAGGAGAAAAUAUCUUUUCUUUUGAUUCACUUUAAAACCUCAAAUUUUCACUCACUUUUGUCUUUAGCUGCUGUUUAUUAAUUUUGUUUCACUACUUAAAUAAUAAAUGAUAAAUCUUACUUCGUAAUUAUUUUUAAAUAAUUAAUAGACACUAAUAGUAAUGAUUAAAAGUGAAAAUAAUAAUAAAUAAAAUAAACAAGGUUAAAAAAUAAAAUAACCAAGGUUUAAAAUGUAAUGAAAAAUUAAACAAAUAAAAUAACCAAAGUUAAAACGUAAAUCAUGGAGUCAAAUCGAUCAAAUUGAAACGAUACUGUAAAUUUGAAAAUUAAUCUCAAAACUUAAAAAAAAAAAGACUAAAUGUGUAAUAUUUUUUAAAUCAAAGGACCAAGCCUAACCCCAAACAUUUGCCAAAAUCAAGGAAGCACUUUCCUUUUUUUCUUAGAAAAAUGGUGUCAUUAGUUGAUACAAAUUUCAUUAAAAUUGUCUGGAAAAAUAAACAAAAAGAAUUUGAAUAUUCAGGAACCAUAGAAAUGUUUCAAAGUUUUGCAAGGAUGCAGUGAAAACAUCAGGCAUCAACUAAAGCUUAACUUGAAUCAAUGCAAGAAGUACACGUACUAACAUAAAUAUAUAACUAUAUAUAUACACACAUGCCCAUACCCUUACCUUGUGUUAUAUUAGAAUGAUGUCAAUAUAAUGAUAUUCCAAGUUGUCUGCUCUCUGUCCAUCAUCAGCCUUCUGACCUUUAGAGUUACCAACUCAAGAACUUGGAGAAUCAAACCUCCAAGCCAAUUCAAAGAAUCUAAUGCUGUGGGUCAGGUUUAUACUUUAUUAAAGUCAACUCUCGUAAGAAUCGAUUCAAAAAAGGUUCUAGAACUAGAUGGUCAAGACCAUGGCAAUGGAGGCAACAAACAGGGAAGAAGAUUUGGGGUCGAUGCAAAAAUGACCAAAAUGAAGAAGAGAAGGGGCUGAUGAGGAUGAAGGCGAUGAACGGCUACCAAAGAAAAGGAAGAGAAACCUGCGUAACAAAAGUUCUUCCACUGCAAAUUCUGAACUUGGAGCACAGAAGAAUAUUAUAUAUUCAUAGCCUAGAAAAUUAGCAUAAUAAUAGUACAAAAUAAUAGGCAUCUUAUCAUCACUCUUCUGAAUAUUUUAAGCACUGGACUCAGCUGAGAAGUUUGGUUAGUCCUAAAUAUUCAACCAAUGUCUUAAAAGGACUUCAAUUAACUCUAUCACUUCCAAGAGGACUUCACAAAAAUAGUAAUUAUAAAUAAGAGACUUCAAUUAACUCUAUCACUUCCAAGAGGACAGAAAGGGGGCCUCUAAAUAUUCAACCAAUGUCUUAAAAGGAUUAAAUUACCCGACAAAAAAAGACAUCACAAAAAUAGUAAUUAUAAAUAUAUAUAUAUAUAUAUACAAAUAAAUAUAUAUAUAUAUAUAUAUAUAUACACACACACGAAACUUUAAAAAGAUUAAAAAUGAUAAUAUUGACAAAAGUGAAGUAUAAAACACAAGGCUGGUGCCAAUCAGCAGGUCCUUACUACAUAAAACUAAAACGAGGGGUGGAAAGAAGAAAAGUAAAGGGAAAAAAGGAAAAAAAAGAAAAAGAAAGAAAAGGAAAAACGGUAAGAGGAAACGAAAAGGGUUUGUUGGAAAAGGUAUCAAAGCCAAAUUAGCCCAAAUGAAGCUCUUAACAUAAACUCUCCCAAAAGUACAGGAUCAUUCAUCCACAAGUUCAGCAGCACCUCAAACGCAAAUAUGGAUUCCCAAGCAUCUAAAAGAAAUAAGACAACGCAAACUAAUAAUCUGGCCUGUCAAAUGAAUACUCCCAUCAAAACAAUGAAGUUGAAGAUUCAAAUAAGAAAAAUGAAACAAGAAAUCAAAGAUAGAAAAAAAGAAAAAUAAAAUAAAAUAAUAAAAGUAAAAGACCAAAAACCAAAAACACAUCCGCAUUAUUAUUGUUGACUGAAAUACAACAAAAUCAACAAGUUCCCCAAACCCAUCUAAUCAGAAAAAGCAUAGCAAAAGAACGAUCAUCAAAAGAAAGUACAAAAACAAAUUCAGUGAAAUGUGCCAAAAAAAUCCAAAUUAAUAAUUGAGAAGGAUGGGAAAGUGACUAAGUCGGCAAUUAAAAGACUGAACCAAACUGGCUCAAAAUUAAAAGACAAGCACCAUCCGAUGGGAUAGAUUUCAGUAUUUGUGACCAUCAGGAAACAUAAUAAUUCAUAAAUAAAUAAAAUAAAAUUUUGAUGAAUUGUUUUCUGGUCGGUACAAGUCAAAAGAAAAACACAAUUUCAACCUGAUAACACUUUUCAAAUCAUUGGAAGACGAGGCAAAUUCUAUUGGAAAAUAAAUGAAAACAUGAUAAAAAAUCAAAUUAGGUGAGAAGAAGAUCUAAGAACACGAGUGAAACAAGGGAUAAGUUUCUUUCGAGUUUGCAUGGUGAAGCAAUUAGGGUAAAGAUGCUUUAAGCUUGAGGAUAGCUAUUAAGUCUUAGGAUGUGUUAGGCCUAUUUUGAAAAACAUUUCGUUUUUGAGAAUUAAAUUUGUAAACACUACUUCCUUCUACUUUGAGUUUUUUUAAAAUCAAGCCAUACUUUUUAAAUUUUACGAAAAAAGAUGUAGGCCCCAUUCAGUUACCAUUUCAGUUUAUGGUUUUUGUUUUUCUGUUUAUUAAAUUCCGUUUUUAAACUUUGGUUUAUUAAAAACAAAAACCAUAAAUAUUAGGUGACUGAUUUAAAAACAAAAUCCUUCUUUUUACAUUUUCAGUUUUCCUUCCUAACUUAAAAAACAAAUUUCUUGUUUUAAAAACAAACAAAGUGAAUUAGUUACCAAACACACCUAUUUUUUAAGAACUAAAAAUCAAAAACCAAAAACAGGAAAUGAAACAAGCCCGUAGUUUAAAAAAAAAUGAUUUUGUUUUUGAAAUCUGCCAUAGAAUAAAAAAAUAUAUAAAAUAUAAGUGAUGAAUCUCAUCUUGGAGAAUCUGAUUUCAAAGAAAUACUUCUGGGUAUAUUAUUCAAAAUUGAGAUGGAGGAGAGGAGCUUUAAAUUGGCCAACUUCCCAGUGCUCAAACGGCAACUUUUUUACAAAUCUAAAAUUCUAAUAUUAUUCAAAUUACAAGAUACUGACCCAGCUGUUAGCAAAGUAAAAAAUAAGUUGUAGUAGAGUUAGUGUUUGUGUUUGUAAUUACAUCAAUAAGAGAUGAAAACCAUAGAAAAGUAGUGAGAAAACAAACACAAUUUUCAAAAACUAAAUAGUCAUCAGAGGGGGGCUUUAUUGAUUUAGAUGGCUACAAGUGUUCUUUUCCUAAAACUUGCAAUAUUUGGUGACCAAUAAAAUUGAAAAUAAGUUGAUUUUAAUUUUUAACAAACACUUUAAAGUUUAUUAUAAAAAAUGUCAUUUCAAAAGGAUCAAUAAAGAAUCAGUUUGAGGUCGCUCGGCAUUUGGAUGUUUGCUUCUAGAUGUGCGUAUGUACAAUAAGGGUAAAAAAAGAAGGAAAGGAUAAAGAAGGUCAAACCAACCGAAAAAGAGCAAUGAAAAGACUCAAAAAAACACUUCGAAAAAGAGCUCCAACUGUUACUUAAAAGGAAAGGGAGGAAAAAGACUGAAAAAUUUAUUGGAAGAAAAUAAAGAAAUACAAGGGAGAGGCAUUAAUAGAGUCCCCUUUGAACAUCCUUCCAAUACAUCUUUCUAUCUUGAAUUUUCUUUUGUUCUUGUCCCAAUAAUCAUCUCCUCCUAAGGAUCACAGAUAUAUCCCUAACAGACCCAGGUCAAAAACCCAUUAGAUCCCUGUAUCAGAACACCUGACAGACCCCGCUCAAAGACCCAUUAGAUCAAAAGUGAGAUAGUGGAUGGAAACAAAUAAAACACAGUCACCAAUUUACAAGAUCAAAGGACACAGUGCAUACUCUACAAGUGUCCAGAUUCACCAUAGCUAUAGAAGUCUCAAGUUCAACCAUGCACAUUGCUGCCAUACCUACCCUCCACUUCCUUGAGGUCCACUUUGGUAGUUAUCCCAGACCAUGCCUUGAGCCAACUCAAGCAAUCACACCUUCUUAGGCGUUCUAAAUCCCUUACUACCCAACAAUGGCAAAACCAAAAGACAUAUCUCUCUAGCCCCACUCUCUCAGCUUGACGUAGGUUGUUACAGAAUUACAUUGUUAUUGUCUUGUAUUUUAUUUCAAUUAGCUAUUAAGUUUUGCCUGGGUAAUCUUUUUUUUUUUUUUUUACUUUGGUGGAAAGGAAACUAAUAUAAUUAGUUUCUAUUUCCCUAAGACAGUGGACUCCCUUGUGUACACAAUAGACAAUACACAUUGUUGGGCAAUCAACAAAAUAAAGGCAAGCCGGUGCUAUUUCUCAAAAGUCCAGUAACUGUUGAUAGUUUUUCAAUAAUAUGAGAGGUGAUUGAUGUACGUAAAAGAGAACAAAAGGUAUUCAUACUACAUCAAACAUCCUCCUCGUAUAUCUUAUAGGAGGAUGCAUCUCUUAAACCACCGGACUGCCUUUGGUAAUGGGAACUCCAAUGAGCAUUCAAGGUCCUAUUAAGAGCGGGAGUUAUUAUUUAACAUCCCAAAUCCUGGCUCCCAUGUUCGUUCAAAAUAACUUUGAGCUACUAAGAAUUGUUUUCCCUCAAGAUAGAAAGGAUGUAUUGGCACAGAUCUCAAGAACAAGGUAACCCAUUACAAGACUUUAUUGGCAGAGCCGCAGAUGCAACUUCAUAACCAAAAUUUGUUAGGUAUAAGUAUAACAAAUCAGGUUUAUUUGGUCAAUUUGAUUCUGUUCUUGUAAGCUUAGCAAUCCAUUUGGAUGGGUUUUUAGUCAAUCAAGCAGAAAUUUUGGUCUUCCAAUAAAUCAGUUUCAACGUCAUUUUUCUAAAUCGAUACACUUGCUGGCUGUUAAGCCUAAACUUUUACUAUAAUAGGAGUCGCAUCUACCAGCACCCUGUAAACAUUAUCUCUCCUAAAACCUCUUGCAUACCACAGCAACAAGCCAUCCUCCUCUAGUUUACUAAACAAAAUUCAUAAACCUCCUUCUUUACCCAACUCUUUUCAAAGAAGUCCCUACCAAUUCCUUUCCAAGUACUUUGAAAACUCUACCCGAUGUCAUAAACAUAAACAAAGAUAAUAUGUGUGAAGUAUUAAAUAAAGCUGCCUUGGCCAGAGGUCAUGACUACCUUUUAAGAAGAGCAUUUUUAUUCAUUGCUAAAGUAGUUUGAUUACCACAUGAGUUAUUUAUUUAUUUCGAAAGGAUUUGAUUGCCACUUCAUGAAUUACAAAUUCUCAGAAUUACCUCCUAAUGGCCAUUGGCCAUCCUAGGUAUUUCAUAUAUCAAUCAUCUAAGUCACAAUUAUACACGCAGGCUUUUGUUGAUGACAGUCUUAAGUUCUUAACAGUACCCAUCAAUAAUCUAUAUACUACCUAUCACUGUAAUUAAUGAUAUGCACUGAAUGAAAAGUUGAAACAUUUAAAUGGUAGAAGUGCAGUAAAUAAAAAGAAUAUGAAACAUUUCAUACCACAAGUGUGACGUGUAUCCUCCGAGAGACCCACCAGCAGCCGCCUGACCCGAUUCAGAAACCGUCUUACCGAGCAUUGUGCUUGAGUAAAUGUGCGGCAACCCCUUCAACGAUGACGAACCAGGCCCAUAAGAGCCUAGCAAUGACGAACCACCAGCACUUAAUUGGCUUAAGCCAUACGACCCCCCACUGUAACCACUCAAGCCAAUCCCAGCCCCAACUGAACUACCAACCAAACCCACUUGACUCAUGGGAACUACUCCCUGGUUCAACAUACCACCUCCCAAAGCUGGACUCCCAUAUCCACCAUACACCGGAUGAUUAAGGCCCGGAUGUUGAGCAAACAAUUGCAAAUUAGGAGCUGCGGCCAUUGCCGCCAUAACCGGCGUCUGAUUCUGCCCUAAGCUUUCCGCUGCCUGUGUGGAAUUUUGAUUCUUGUUCUUCCCUCAGACGCCCUCUGGCAGUGCAAUUUGUUCCCUUCAAACACUUUGUGUGGUUCCUCAAGAGCCUUCCUCGCACCUUCAUUCGUUCUAUAAAUAAAAAUGGCAUAACCCCUCGAUUUCCCUGUCUCGGGAUCGAACCCAAUCGGACCCAUCUCUAAGUCUCCAAAUUUCGCAAAGAACGCCCUAAGCCUCUCAGCAUCCACAUUAUGGUGCACAUUAGCCACAUAAAUCUUCCGCGGCCCAACCUCCUGGCUUUGCGGGGGCGGCACUGAACCCACAGAAGCCAAUUGACACGAAGUCAUCCGGUUAUUAAUCUUCUUCCUAGGUUCCUUCAACGCCUUAAUUGCACCUUGCCGGGAUUUGAACAAAAAUAAACCCAUAUCCCUUAGCCUUACCUGUGUUUCUGUCCAUAACCACAUUGCAAUCUUCAAUUUCACCAAAAGAUUCAAAAACCGAAGUUAGGGUUUCUCGGGUGGUGUCCCAACCGAGGCCAUGGACAAAUAUCUUGCGGUGAGUAACAUCGCGGUCGGCAGCAGCUCGAAUUUGGGCUUGAAGAUUUGGGUCUUUGAGAGCGGUGGUGCAAAUGAGCUCAAUUAAUUGGUCUUGGAGAAGGGUUCGAGGAGUUUGGGAAGAUCGUCGAAAUCGGAGUCGGAGACGUCGUCGACUGGUUGAGACUGAACGUUAUGUUCAAGCUCUUUCUUGAGUUUCUUAUCGACCUUGUUUUCAGAUUUCUUGACCAGCUUUCUUUUGGCGGUUUUGUUGGUUCCCUCCAUUGGAGAGCUACUGAGCCGGCGGCUUCAAAAGAAGAAGAAGAGGAGGAAGACGAAACAAGGUUUCGGCGGACUGCCCCGAGUCUAAAGCAAAUUUUAAUAUUAAUAUUAUUAUUUUGUUCUUUUUUUGAGAAAAUCAAUUAAUAUAUAAUAAAAUAGAGAAAUUGUUGUCAUUAAUUUAAGGGGUUUUUUCUUCUUCUUCUUCUUUUUUUUUUUUUUUUGUUAAAGAAUAACUUUAUGCUAAAUUACAAAUUUGGUUAAGCUUUGUAUAUUUAUAUGGUAGUAGUUUUCUUUUCCAUAAAUAUUAAUAGGUGUUGAUAUAUAGUUGAUAUUUGGUAUCAACUUAUUCUUUCUAAUAUAAUCAUUUUUACAACCUACAAAAUAGAAAAAAUAGCCUCCAUAUUAUGUUUGGUCAUCGACACUUUGACAAUCCAUAUGGUAGAAAGGACAUACUAGAAAUCUUGUUAAGGUAGAAAAGACGAGAAGACAACUUUACCAUUGUGCUAACUAAUGUUAUUAGUAUUAUAUGUAUCUAAAGAGUAUGAAGUUGUGUGUGUAUAUAUAUAAAGAGCAUAUAUUAUACGGCUAGAUGGUUGAUCUUGUGGAUCAAUCACCAUAUUUGGUCAAAUAAGUCUAUGGCUAAAUGUGGGUCUGUCUCCAUUCCUAGUCAAACAAGUAUUCAGUUAUUCUUUCACAAUACUAAGUUUUUAAUAUUUUUUAUUUAAUCAAUUUACUUAAAAAUUUAGAGGGAGAGAUUUUCCUCUUUUCCAUUGUCAUGGAAGGGGUAGAGAGGGAAGAGAAAAAAUAAAAGGGAUGAAAAAAAACGAAGGAAAGCAUUAUUCAUCUUUCUUUCUCCUACUUGGAUGGUUGUUUUGUUAGAAUUUUGAUAUAUAUGUUGAGCUUUUGAUUCUUACUUAACUCUAAUAUCUAAUUUGUAGAUAUCAAUCAAGUAUAGCUCUUUGUAAGUAUGUCUUGCUUUAGGAUCGGGUCGAAUAGUAAUAGUUUAAACACACUUUCAUAUUAAUUUUGAUACUAAAACAAGGAAAAUUUACCCAACGCGGGAGAAAUAAUACUUUGAUAGUUAUAUGUUCAAGUUUAUCUCUUAUUUUAUGGUACAUGAUUUUGCACUGACUAAACUAAAAUAUUCUUUAAGUAGGAAGGAAAGUUACCAACUAAAGAUUCGUAUGACUGUCACCACAGUAUUAAAUAACCUCGUGAAUUCUCUUGAAUCUCUUGAACACAUUUUCUACUUGUAUAACUUAGCGUGGAAGUUUAAUGAAAUUCAUCUUUACAUUAUUAUUGGAAGGGAUGGUCUUAGAAGUUCAAAAUUUAAUAAAGUUUUUUCAAUAUAAUUCAUGUAAAGGUAAAGGUUAGAAUUUGAGAUCUCAACAAAGAUGGUGCAUAAUGUUAUGCUAUUUUUUUUUUGACAAUUAAACUAAGAUUAGUAAAACAUAAGUUAUAAUAGUUAUUACUGUCGAACACAACUCUAGCUAACCUAAUUGUUUAGGAUGAAAAUUUCUGCCCAACAUUCUGUAUUAUAUAUCAACUAAUUAACUAUAGCCAUAUAUUUUUAAUAGUUUUCAUUCUAUAUAUAAACAAUAUCAUGUCACCUACUACAUAGUUUUUAGUGCUACUGCUUAAUAAGGUGUGUCAUUAGUUUUGUUUUUGCAAAAUCUUUCUUUUAACCAUUGUCAUCAUUUGAUUUAUGUAAUAUUCUAACUUUAUUCUAAACAUGGAUAAGAGUUGGAUAUGAUUUAAGCGAAAUAGAUAAAUUUUAUAAAAAUAAUUUGUAAGCAACUAAAUUUAUGUUGAUAUCAAACUCUCAUAAGAGAUUUCCAUAUAUUAAGAAUUGAUUUUCGAUGUUUGAUUUCAAAAAUUAAUUAAUUUAAAAUUAUUUAAUAAGUGGUUUUCUAUUUGAGAAAUAAUUAUAAAAAAAUUUCUCAAAUGAGUGUGUAAAAAAAUUAAAUAACCAUUUUAGAAUGAUUUCCAAUCAAAUUACUAAAUAAAAAUUACAUAUCAUCUCAUUUCUCUAACAUCCAUUUGAAAUUAUUUUAUAUUUUUCUAAAAUCAAUAAACAAACCCUAAAUACCUCUAAAUUUUACGGUUCAAUUUUUAAUUGACUAUGUUGAAGAAAAUGUUUGAAAUUUGAAAUUAUUUCAAAACAUACCAUUAAAUUUUUUUCCUUUACUAAAAUGAAUUAUAAUAUUUAUAAAUUAAUUUCAAACUAUCUAGAGAAUUAAAUUGUUGUUAAAAGAUAUCAUAUCAUGACAUAAAAAAAAGUCUACAUCCCAAAAUCUUUAGUUCUUUCAUUUGUUCAAUCUCUUUUUCAAUGAAAAUGUCGACUCAAAAUAUCAAAAUUUUAAAAGUAUUUGAUCGAUUUAGUGAUAAUUAAUUCAACUAUGUUGGCUUUUGCUAUAUGUAUAGUAAUAUGUAUAUAUAUAAACACUGUGUACGGAUGAAAAUAUAUUCCCGUGAAUUUACUUUGGAUAAGUUCCAUUUGUUUUCUUCUGCACUUUGAAUAUAUUCGGUAUCUACCAAUUACCAUCCAAAUUCUCCUUUCCUUUCUCUAUAAUUAAAAUAGAAAAAUAAAAACAAACCUUUCACUUUUUGUAAAUAAAAUUUUCCAAACCAAUCAUUCAUAAACUCAAACUUUCUUACUCUUUCUCUUAUCUUCUAUCCUUUUGCAACAAAAAAAAAAAAAAAAAAAAACUAUGAAAAUCUGCUUCUUCUUCCUUCAACUCACUCUCAUCAUUGCUACAAUUUUCGCAUCCAAACCAACUUAUGACUUCUCCAGUACCAUCUUCGACACCGGAGGGCUCAGUCGAGCUGCAUUUCCAGAAGGUUUCGUCUUUGGAACUGCAACUUCUGCAUACCAAGUAGAAGGAAUGGCUGACAAGGAUGGCCGAGGCCAAAGCAUUUGGGAUCCUUUCGUUAAACUCCCCGGUACUCAUAUCUUUCCAUUACUUUUGAGUUCUGAUUUAGUUAAAAAUGAACUAAAUAUCAUCAGAUCUUCUUAUUUUUUUCCGAUGUGAGAGAUUCUCAUGGCAUAAUAAAUAUAAUUGCUUGAGUUAUUUUUCCUUGUUUUUUUUGAAAUGGUUGUGAGUAGGAAAAAUUGUUGACAAUGCUACUGGAGAUGUAGCUGUGGAUCAAUAUCAUCGAUACAAGGUAUACGUGAAUCAUGUCAUCAUAUUUAAUUGAUAUUAAGAAGUUUGAAUAUCCAUAUAUAUCUGGUUAAUGAUUUUUCUUUUUAAUCUUAACAAAAUUGUUUUUAAAUUUCUAAUUUUAUGUUUUUAAUUUAAUUUCUUUGUCCGUUUGGAAUAGGAAGACAUUGAUAACAUGAAAAAGCUGAACUUCGAUGCUUAUCGAUUCUCGAUUUCUUGGCCGAGGAUAUUUCCAAGUAUUUAAAAUUUUCUCUUUAUACAAUAUUUUUAUCUUUUGAAUGGCAAAAAUCAUUACCUGCAGCUACAUAAUUAUAAUUAAUAAUAAUCUGUUUUAUUUCAUUUUUGCUUCUUUGUUUUUCAAUAGAUGGAACAGGAGAAGUAAAUUGGAAAGGGGUUGCUUACUAUAAUAGAUUGAUUGACUACAUGAUUCAACAAGGUAAAAUAUUAUAUGUUACACCCAUUCAUUUUAUUUGAUUUCAAUUUUAGUAUAAAAAAAAUUCAAAUUAUAGCCUAUUUAAUUAAUAUCUAUUUUAUUUUUCGGUAUAAAAAAUGAAGCCGAAUUUAUUUAAAAUUUUACGACGUAUAAUUUUCAAAUCAGAAAACAAAAUGAUAAAUUAGUUAUUAUUUACUUACUUAAAUAAUUAGACUAUUUCUUUGUUAGGAUAUAAUGUUGUUAUUUUGGACAUAGACUCUAGUCAUUUUAUUUUUAAUUUUAUUUGAAAGACUUGUCUAGCGAAAAUGAUAAUAUAUUUAAGUAAUCGAGUUUUUUAAAGUAUUUUAUGGUUUAAUAAGACGAUCAUUACGUCGUAAUUGUAAUUGACUCUUUAUUAUUUACGACUUCUUUUAGUAAUUAUUUCAUCGAUUUAAUUAGUUUGUUUUUUAAUUGAACUUAUUUUCUCUUUAUUUAUUAAAUUUUUAGUUAAAUUUUAAAUGUCAAACAACUAUUUGUUUAAAUUUCAAAAACUCAAUAUAAUAAAAUUUUAAUGAUUAUAAUUCUAUGUGUGUGUUUCCUUUUCAUUGCAACGUGAAGGAAUCACACCCUAUGCAAAUCUUUACCACUACGAUCUUCCCUUGGCAUUACAAGAAAGAUAUAGAGGUUUACUAGACAAGCAAAUUGUGUAAGUUUGAUCAAACUUAUGUGUAUAACUUAUAUUUUCAUACCUACAUUGGGUUAUGAUUGCAAUUAUUUUCAACAUAUAUAUGUGCAUGCAGGAUCGAUUUUACAAAUUAUGCAGAAUUUUGUUUUGAAGAAUUUGGAGAUAGAGUGAAGAAUUGGAUGACAUUUAACGAACCGAGAGUUAUAGCUGAUGUUGGGUUCAAUAGCGGAAUAAUGCCUCCUUCAAGAUGUUCAAAAGAAUAUGGAAAUUGUACAGAUGGGAAUUCAGGAACUGAACCUUACAUUGUGGCUCAUAAUAUAAUUCUUUCCCAUGCUAAUGUGGUUGAUACAUAUAGGAAGAAAUUUCAAGUAAGUAAAGAUGCUUUUUUUUUCUAAUUAUUUAUUAAGUUUUGUUUUUAUUUUUGUGAAUAAUAUUUUUAUUAAUAUAUAGACUUGUAAUUUCUAUAGGAAAAACAAGGAGGAAGAGUUGGGAUUUUGUUGGAUUUUACAUAUUAUGAACCUCUCACUAAUGAGAAAGAAGACAGAGAUGCAGCUCAAAGAGCAAGAGAUUUUCAUAUUGGCUGGUAAAAAUUAAUAUAUUAAUCCAAUUUGUGAUUUGUUUUGUGUUCAAGUUUAAUUUUUAUGUUAAAUUGGAUCAUUAAAUAUAUAAUAUCAAUUUUCACCAACCUAUACAUAUAUGUAUAUGUUGAAAUUAGGUUCUUGCAUCCAUUUACAUAUGGUGAAUAUCCAAGAAGAAUGCAAGAAAUAGUAAAAGAAAGGUUACCAAAAUUCAGUGAAGAAGAGGUAAAAAAGGUGAAAGGGUCAGUAGAUUUUGUGGGUAUCAAUCAAUAUACAACUUUCUAUAUGUUCAACCCUACUUGGCCAAAACCAACCACUCCUGGCUAUCAAUCUGAUUGGCAUGUUGGCUAUGCUUGUAAGACUCUACUACACCAUUGUUAUUAUUAUAAUUAUUUAAUCAUCUUCUUCACUUCAAUUAUUUCUAUAUUCUAAUGCUACUUUUUUCUUAUAAUUUUGUUCCCACAGAUGAAAAGAAUGGAAAACCAAUUGGUCAACGAGUACGUAAUUAAUCUUUAACAUCGAUUGAGCGAUGUUCGCUUUUAACUACUAAAUAUAACUUUUGAUUGGUCUCAGGCUCAUACCGGAUGGUUGUAUGAAGUACCAUGGGGAAUGUACAAAGCUUUGAUGUAUGUGAAGCAACACUAUCGAAAUCCAAACGUUAUAGUUUCAGAAAAUGGUAAUUCACUCUCAAUUUCUGUUUAUUUGUUUUUGAUCAGUUUUAGUCAUGAGGUUAUAUUUAUUACUAAUUCCUUUUUUCAUAAGAAAAAAACUGUACAGAAUAUUCCCUUUUAUAAUUAUUUUUCUAAAAAUGUAUAUGAUUUGUAUAGAUUUUCAAAUCAUUAUCCCUACAAGAAUAUGGUAUCUUUGAAAUAAUCGUAAUCAAAAUUUGAAAACAAAAUAUAGGAAUUUUGAAAACUCAUUCAGCAUUUUUUUCUCACAUGAUAUUUGAUAAUUGGGUUUGCACUAGAAGUCGUCGUUAUACGUACAUAUGUUGGCAAGUAGCUGGUAGCAGGUAUUUUGUAACAGUUAAACGUUUAAUUCUAUUUUAAAUGCAAUGAUAGGAAUGGACACUUCUGAUAUCCCACUUCCUGAAGGGUUAAAUGAUAGAGAAAGAAUAAAUUACUACAAGACAUAUUUGCAAAACAUGAAGAAAGCCAUUGAUGAUGGAGCUAAUGUGAGUGGAUAUUUUGCAUGGUCUUUGCUUGAUAACUUUGAAUGGCUAUCAGGUUAUACUUCAAGGUUUGGUAUCAUAUAUGUUGAUUACAAACACAAUCUCAACAGAAUUCCUAAGAUGUCAGCCUAUUGGUUCAAACAAAUGAUUAGUAAGAACUAGGAGUAUAAUUAAACCUAGCUCAAGUAAUAUUUUAAAUGCUAUUGGUAACUAUAUAUAUAUAUAUUAUUCUCUUCCUUUCUUAUAUUUAUAAGAAAAUAAAUGAUUGACGAACAAAACAUAUUAGUGGAUCAUCUUUUACCAAAUUUUGAAAUUGAAUGAUAAUUGAUAUUUUAUGAAUCGAAUUAUGCUUAUAUUCUCGAGACUCUUUAAAUCUCUUUUUUUAAUUUCACUAAGAUAAAUACUUUUAUCUUAUAUAUAUAUGCAAAUUUUUUUCAUGAUAGUCUCUACUUAAUUUUGUUUUUUUAUACAUGUGUGUAUAUGUACAUAGAGGAAAAAUUGAAGUUGAUGUUAGGACAUCUUUUACAUGUCAAUUUUGAACAACUGUGUUCAAUAUUUUGUCAGGCAUUAAAUUAUUUGUGGUCAUUUGUAUCUUUUUACUUAUGUAAUAUUUUAUUUUAAAGUAAUAUUAAUUAAAGCGAACUCAACUAAGAAGUUUAUAGUUAAAUUCUUCUACCGUACCAAAUUUAAAAAAGAAAAUAGUAUUCACCUUUUAAAUGAUUUUAGAAAUAUUAUCAUGGUCUGAUUCUUUUCCCUUUAAAAGUUGUAACUUAAUUUGGAUAUAGUUUCAAUUAGUUCCUCUUUACAAGUUUCAAAUUUACUAGUUGUGGUUUGAAUAUUUAGUUUAAAUUAGGCGUGAUAGUUGGCUUAGUUUUCUUUAUCUUGUAUAUAUCUAGUCAAGAAUCAAUAAAUAAAUUUUUCAAAAUGACUGUAAUCUGUUUGAUUUAAAAGUUUUAUAUAGGUUAAUUAGCUCAAUAAGUAUGCAAUUAUGAUGGCACAUAUCUAUAACCUCGUACAAAAUAUGGAGGAAAGUUCACGAACCCUAGGUCAAUUGACAUAUACUCAAGUCAUUAUGACUUUAAGAAAAAAAAAAAGAAUUAGUCAUUUAUGAUUCUAAAAAAAAACUCAUACUAAACUUACAUCUUAAAGCCUUUAACGAACUUAGGCACAAAUACUCGUCUAGUACUAGCCCAUUCUCUUUUGUGCGUCAUAUUUAAAUUGAAACUAAACUUAAAUAUUUAGAUCGAACUCAAAAGAUUCUAAUUUGUAAUUUAGUCGCGACAACAUUCUUGUUAAAAAAUGAUGACUAGCUAACCAAAUUAAACUGCACCUCUAUUAUCUAUUAUAUCUUAGUCACAAUGAAAUUAAUUAAGUACAAUAAUAUUAUCAAUUGGUCAAUAAAGGGGACUAAUCCAACUUGGAUCCCAACAACAACAACGUGGCUGAUAGUUAAGGAGAUAAGACCCUUCUAUUGGUAUGAUAUCAUGGGUGUGUUCUUAAUCAAUUAAUUAAACCCUUAAUUAGAAAAAAUUGAAACAGUUACAAUGUCCAACUAGGCAGCUUCCAUUUCAAUAAACCACAUCUGACGUGCCAUCAUUUGUGGUUACUAAUUAAUAGUUAUGCCACUUAGAAAAAGCCUAAGCCACUUAGAUUAUUAAUUAUGAUUAUAAUUAUUAAUUUCAUUUUCAUUGAGUCUAUGUGUGGUUCUUCCACUUUAAUGACCUGAAAAAUGCCUUUUUCUCCUAAGCACUAUUAUUCAUUCUCAUUCGUGGUUUCAUUAAUAAAAAUCAUCUCUAAUAUAAUCUAAUCAUUCACAUUAAGUAGUAAUAAUAAUAAUAUACCAAAAACAUGGGCUUUCAUUCUUCACCAACUCUCUUAAGAGUGUGGCAUGCUUAGUGUUGUUGUACUUUGGGUUUUAUAUAUUUUAAUUCAAUUUGUUGGUAAAUAGUUGGAAUUAGUCGGUUUCCUAUGAAAUCAUCACCAAAAGGAUGUUUGGCUAUUAGUUUUGAUGCAUAUACAUCUAUCUUUUUUGUCAACUUUUGGAGUUUUUUUUUCCUCUUUGACAAUGUGGGUAAAGAAAAUCGAACAUAUGAUAUCGAGAUUGAUAGUAAAUAUUUUAUGUUGGGUUGAGUUAUACUCGUUUUGGUAUAAAUAAUAAAAUAAGCACACAAAGAUGUCUAAAUUUAAAGUUGAGAAGUUGGAGCUUGUUAUUAUCAAUCUCAUGGUUUAAAGGGUUAGUAGAGAUAGUAUAACGGAACGGUUUUAUGAGAAAAAAUUCAUAUAGUGACUUAAUCAAGCUUAAAUAAACAAAACCACAUCCAAAAAUGUUAAGAACUUGACAAUCAAAGAUAAAUAAAAAAUAAAAAGCGAACAUAAACAAUAGAGAAUAAUCAACACAAAGAUUUAACAUAUAGUUCACCAACAGUGUGUUAGCUACAUUCACGUGUAAAGGAAGAGUACAAACUUUAUUAGCAAGAAAAUAUCAUACUAUAGAUUCAAUUGUUGUUAGAGAGUUUAAUAUUGUGCACUGUUCAAAGCCUUAUAGAGCCAAAAUAAAAUAACAUGAAUACAAAUACAACUUAAUAUAUUUGUUUCAUCGCCCAUGUACUCUAGUUGAUAUUGAUGUACUAGGUGACAAGACCGUUAUAUUUUGGUCAUACAUUCAGAACGUCAAAUAAUAAAUUCAAAGCAUUCCAACACAAAACAUUAAUACAAGCUCGGAUUUCUAAUUUUGGGUUUUCAGAAACCCUACUUCAUGGUUAAAAUAACAUAUUAUUAAAACUCAAACUAAAAUAAUCUACGCUCCACGCACAAAAUCAUUAUAACUCAACUAUAAUAACCAAUUAUUGCCUCAAACGCUUCUUUAUUUAGAGGGUGAAAAAGAUUUUUGUUUAAUUUCCUCACCAAUUUGGCUUAGCAUUAUUUUAUUCUUAACAUAUAUGAAUAUGUGUCUAAUAACUAUAUGGGAGUUGUAACCGUACACCAUUUUAGACAUACCGUAUCAUGACUCUUUGGAUGACACCUCAAAUCUUGAUCUAAAAGCAUAGAAUGAUUCAUAAAAAAGGAUACACAUUCAUAUAUCAUAACGCACCAAAUCUCAUCAAAACUUUACAGUUAAGCAUACUCGAACGAUAUAGUACUAAAUUUGGUGAUCACUUGGAAAGUCUUCGUUUUCACCUAUUUAGAGAAAUAAUGUUCAAGAAAGUCACCUCAAGGCAAUAAAAGAAGCUUAAUAUCUUUGAUUUCAAAUAUAUCAUCCCAUCAUUUUAAGCACUUUGAGUUUAGCAUAUGUUAGCUACAACCGAUAUAACGAGUUCUUAUACUUAGAGUUGGAGAGAGAAUUUUUUAUGUGGUUGUAAUAAUUUUUGACAAAGUAUAUUUUUUUUAUUUCUCACUUUAAUUUUUGCAUAAUCGUGUGAUAGUAGUAAGUGGUUUUAUUCCAAUAGAAAGUGAGUAAAAAAUGAGCAUUGGUUUGAUUGGGAAGGAACCCUUAGGUUCAACUUAAUUUCUAAUGUAAUUUAGUUAUAUUAUUGGUUGAUAAAAAAAUUUAUAUUAGUUAUAAAAAGUAGCUCCUUCUUUUAUGACAAUGACAGUUGAAUUUGAUUAAUUAUUAAUUAAGAGAAAACAUAUUGGGUUUGGAGCAUAUGAGAUUUAAUUAAUUUAUUAAAAGCUUUGCAGCCCUAACCAAAGCCAUGCAUGGCUUAUAAAUACUACCAAUUUCAAAGCUUCUAAAUACACCAAAACAAAAACUAACUUCCAACACAAGAAAAACCCAAAAUAAUAAUUCCAAUAUCUUCUUCCUUCUUCCUUCUUCCUUCUUCCUUCUUCCUUCUUCCUCGAUCUUCUUUAUAGGCCUCCUUCUUUCUCUAUAUUCUCAAAAUCAUGUCAUCCCUUGGAGCUUCCUAUGCCAAAAUCCACCUCCUACAGAAGCAACAAAAGGAGAAACUUGAGAGAAUGGAACCAAAUCGAUUCUCCCGAGGAGAGACCGCCACCGCCACGGGUUCCUCUAGUGGUGGUUCUUUGCUUGCAAGGAAUAAAAAAGUUCACCCGGGAAGCAUUGCUCCGACGACCACAGUCGACAGCUACAAAAAUAGAACAUGAUCAAGUUAUAUAUUUGACUUUAUGCUUCCCGGCCCUUCUUGAUCAUGACCUGUUUUCCUUCUUUUAGUGUCUAUAAAAUCGAAAAGCUUUUGUUUGUGUAAAUGUGUUUAAAAAUGUCUGUCCAAAGGCCAAAAGAAAAAGAAGAGGAAGAAGAAGAAGAAUAGUAUAAGUGUGUCUUUUGGUCUGAUCUACUCUUUUCAUGUUCUCUAGUCUGUACUUUUCCAAUGUUUUGCUGUUAAUUAAUUAAGGAUGUAAUUGUGUCUUAAUGCUUUAUAAGGUAAAGUAUAACACUUUAGUUUUUAUUAUACAUAUAUAUAUAGUAAUUUUCUCCUUUGACGUCAUGAUAGCUAUAGAAAAGUAUUUGGACAAUAUACAUCUCACAACUAUAUCUAUUCAUCUCAAAAUGAACAAAGUGAAGAAAAAAUUCAAAACAAUUAAUUAUUUUAUGUAGAGAUGUGAAGAAAUAAAAUAACUAUAUACAUUUGUAAUUUGUAACCUGUUACAUUAACAUUUGAAAAUGAAGAUGAAGUAAGUUGUAACUAAAACAUGUGAAUAGAGGAUAUGUGAGGGUUUGGACCUAUCAUUUUCAAUAUUGAUUUCAUAAGAAAGGAGAUUCAUAUCAUCCUCAUUAGAGGGAGGUAUGAUAGAGACAUGAG
rnacentral:lncRNA from 1 species